rnacentral:rRNA from 1 species
GACGAACGCUGGCGGCGUGCUUAACACAUGCAAGUCGAACGGAAAGGCCCUGCUUUUGUGGGGUGCUCGAGUGGCGAAAGGGUGAGUAAAACGGGAGUAACCUGCCCUUGACUUUGGGAUAACUUCAGGAAACUGGGGCUAAUACCGGAUAGGAGCUCCUGCUGCAUUGUGGGGGUUGGAAAGUUUCGGCGGUUGGGGAUGGACUCGCGGCUUAUCAGCUUGUUGGUGGGGUAGUGGCUUACCAAGGCUUUGAAGGGUAGCCGGCAUGAGAGGGUGACCGGCCACAAGGGGACUGAGAUACGGCCCAGACUCCUACGGGAGGCAGCAGUGGGGAAUAUUACACAAUGGGCGGAAGCCUGAUGCAGCAACGCCGCGUGCGGGAUGACGGCCUUCGGGUUGUAAACAGAUUUCGCCUGUGACGAAGCGUGAGUGACGGUAAUGGGUAAAGAAGCACCGGCUAACUACGUG